AUGUGUGAAACACAGGCUUUUCCCCCUCCCACUCUUAUAUUUUCUCACCUUUUCGUAUUCCCGUCUCCCCUCUCUUGCCCUCUCUCAGUCGACCAUUUCUCAUUUCUUUUUUCUCCUUCUCUCACAGUUUUCCCGCGUGACCUCAGUCGACCAUUUUUUGUUUUGGUCUACCUACACAUAAUGACAUCCAACCGGCGAUGACAUCGGUAGCGGCAUCUCUCUCAACAUUUUCAUCCGUGUUUGAAUCCGAAUCUGAGAAUAUCUUCUUUUCACUGUUGGUAAUGUCCUUUGCUUGAAUGAGCUCAUCCAACCGUAAUACAUCAAAAAUAGGAUCAAAAUAUGGGRAGUCCAUAAAGAGAGGGAUUAUAUCAUUCUUCUCAAUUGAUGAGAGCAGAUUAACUCAAGUUGAUGAGCUCCGAUUCAUGCCCUACUACAUCUCCAAGCACUCAUGGGGUUUGCUCCGCCAAAGAACAAAGCUUCUGUGUCGUAAAUGUGGGAACCUUGUUGGUCAUGCUUAUGAAGACAAUACUUUCUCUUACCCCUCUGUACCAGAUGGAUCAGAUUCAAGCUCAGGGAGUGGGGUUUCCUUUUGUCGAAAGUAUGAUGUCAAAAUUCGUUCCUUACAGCCUUCCUCUUCUGAAGAAUCUGGUGUUCCUCUUUUCAUGUGAUGCAUAUGAGAAGGUUCAUCACAUAUUCUGCCUCCUUUCUGAAGAACCUUAAAGUUCAAACAACCAUUCCAGAUGUUGGAGAUUAUAGAGAGGUUAUCUUUAGUUUGUAAUCGAGUUCCUUGAUUGCUGAACCAUGCAAAAGGUGUUAUUUUGGUCAUUCAACUGCAUUAUCAAGGUCUUCUUCGGCAUGAUAUCCUUAACAGGCAUCACUCAGAACUUGCUAUUUAUGGACAUGGUUGUUACUAGCAUGCAUCAUUAUUUCUACUUGGAGUGCUUGUUUGUUGGAUGACAUUGGCAGCAAUGAGAACCAGCAUUCAACAAUGCUUUGUGAUAGGAGUGAGUGCUGUUGAGAAUGUAUGUUUCUCCAAUAAAAGAGAUUAGAGGUGUGGAUGAUUUACAACUAAAGCUUGUUAAUAAGCCAGCUGUUGGAAAUGUACCUAGACAUCCACAACAAGGACAACAAAUUGCCAUUGAAGUGCAGAAAGAAGGGUUAAAUGUUUCCUUGAAGUCUCGUGAAGGAUUUCUGAUAUUCUUUUUAAUCAUAACUGGUGCUACUUCAACGAUGGUGAAAAAAGUGGGUAUUAUCCGAUGACAUAGCUUUAUUGGUUCAAGCAUGGCAAGAGAAAGAUUAUAGAAAGCAUGGACAUGUUUAUGGAACUUAUCUCCUCAUAUGUUAGAGUUAAUGAAGGAAGUGAAGUAGACCCACCUUUGAGGAUGGAAUUAGCAUGCACGCUAUGGUGAUUCGGAAAGUUGAAAAGAUUCUUUUCUUAUGGUUGCCCAUAUUGGAGUUCAAAGGGUUGACAAUUGCCAAUUUUUGUCUGGAUUGAAACUCUACCAUCUUUGAUUCUGUUUUUUAUGUAUGAUGUACAAAUUGUUGUAUAUGCAUCACAAAAAUAUAUGACCAUAUUACAAUUUUGUAAAUGGGUUUUACUUCAUGUUUACUGAUACAAUCAAUAUCCUUGUAAGGAGAGAGAACUUUGAAGCCAAAGAAUAAUCAUUAUUUGUAUUUGUA